rnacentral:rRNA from 1 species
AACGAACGCUGGCGGCAUGCCUAACACAUGCAAGUCGAACGAGACCUUCGGGUCUAGUGGCGCACGGGUGCGUAACACGUGGGAACGUGCCCUUUGGUUCGGAAUAAGCUCGGGAAACUGGGUCUAAUACCGAAUGUGCUCACCGUGGGAAAGAUUUAUCGCCAAAGGAGCGGGCCGCGUCUGAUUAGCUAGUUGGUGAGGUAAAGGCUCACCAAGGCUACGAUCAGUAGCUGGUCUGAGAGGAUGAUCAGCCACAUUGGGACUGAGACACGGCCCAAACUCCUACGGGAGGCAGCAGUGGGGAAUCUUGCGCAAUGGGCGAAAGCCUGACGCAGCCAUGCCGGGUGAAUGAUGAAGGUCUUAGGGUUGUAAAAUUCUUUCACCGGGUACGAUAAUGACGGUACCCGGAGAAGAAGCCCCGGCUAACUUCGUGCCAGCCGCCGCAGUAAUAC